CCUCUCCCCCUAUUGAAUCUCCUCUUCCCCUCAUUGAGUCUCCUCUUCCUUCUUCCACCAUUGAGCCUCCUCUCCCCCUUUUGAGUCUCCUCUCCCCAUGCCCUUCCUUGUCUCGGACUCAGGCACCAGGUCCCAUCAAUGCUGUCUCCUGGACCGGCUCUCUCAUCAGACAGUGACAAGGAGGGAGAAGAUGAGGGGACUGAAGAAGAACUUCCAGCACUGCCCGUCCUUGCCAAGAGAACCAAGAAGGCACUGGCCUCGGUCCUCAGCCCAGCCUUGCCCCGAAGCCUGUCCCACUGGGAGAUGAGUCGGAGAAGAGCUCAAGGUGGAGAGGACAAAGGACCCCUAAGCCAGAUAGUUAGAACUAAAAUGCAGGAAAUCAAGGAUCAAAAGAGCGGAGAUCUGGAGAAACAGUUCUAAAGACCCCGGUUAGGAGGUAAGCGGAGAACUUCCAGAAUAGUUAGAGGGAAAAGGCCAUGAGGGGACCCAUAACUCAGCGACUGCCCUGGGGUGGCCAAAGGGGGAUCAAGGUGUUCAGAGCAACUUCCCAAGCACCAGUACCUUCCGUUGUCAGCAACAGUUUCACAGAGUGAUGAUGCUGUGGUGUCUCUGGAGCACCCUGACUGGGCCAGGGGUCUCAGGCCUGGGCUAUAGGUUUGUCCUUGGUGCUGUGAAGGGACUUUGGGGCCCCCAGCUAUUGGAGUGAUUGGGGUAGAGAGGCAA
rnacentral:lncRNA from 1 species